rnacentral:rRNA from 1 species
CAGCAGCCGCGGUAAUACGAAGGGGGCUAGCGCUGUUCGGAAUUACUGGGCGUAAAGGGCGCGUAGGCGGCCAUUCAAGUUAGAUGUGAAAGCCCUGGGCUCAACCUAGGAAUUGCAUUUGAUACUGUUUGGCUUGAGUUCGGGAGAGGUGAGUGGAAUUCCCAGUGUAGAGGUGAAAUUCGUAGAUAUUGGGAAGAACACCAGUGGCGAAGGCGGCUCACUGGACCGACACUGACGCUGAGGCGCGAAAGCGUGGGGAGCAAACAGGAUUAGAUACCCGCGUAGUCCCUGUCUCUUAUAC